CUCUCUCUCUCUCUUUCCUUUGAUACUUUUUCUUCUGUCACUUUCUGUCUGUGGAAAAACUCACCCUGAUUUCCAUGUGAAAACGACUCAACGACUGUUUACACCUCGUUUGUUUACCCCUUUUCCGCGGAUAAUUGCAGGAAUGGGGGCUCUCUCCUCUUUUUUCGAUUUAUUUGCUCCUUCCCCUUUUAGCUCCGUUAUGUAAUUGCCUGUUUUGCUCCCAUUUUCUUCUCUUCCCUUGUGGGCGGAUGCUGUUACCCUUCCUGCAUCAGCGCUUCCAUAUAUAGAAGAACCAUGGCGCCCAUGAAGAUCUAGGGUUUCAGUGGGAGGGAAAGGAGUUGUGAGCCAGGUGAUGGUGAAAAUGUGGGGUUUCUUCCUUUCUUUCUGUUACUUGUAGUCCGGCCUCUUCCAUCUCGUUUGUUCUCCGAGGCCUUUGAUGGUAUUUGACCUUGCUUGUUAUUUUGAAGUUUGGUGCCUUCUGCCACUAGUUUGUUUAUUUAUUUGCUUUGUUUUUUUUUUUUUUGUUUAUUUGUUUGUUGAAGGGGUGGGAUUCACGUAGCUCUGGUUUUCACUUAGAAAAUGACAAUUUAAACGUGUGCCUUUUCUCUUCAUGAGUGCUGAAGUUUUUAUGGAACGGUGGAUUUGUUUUCGAAUUGCAGGUCCAUCGUUACAUAGUGGAAUCUGAUCCUUGAGAUGGCCUGUUAGGGUUCUUAUUCUCUAGUUCUAGUAUGAUGCAAAAGAUCUUGAUCAUAUAUUGGCGAUGGGUUGAUGAUGGUACCAUUUCUGUUAUUGAGAAAGAAGAAGAAACUUACUCCAUGGUAGGGAGUAGGGACGUUUCAAGUAUAGCGUCUCUCUCUCUCUCUCUCUCUCUCUCUAGCAUGAAAACUGUUGUUGUGGUAUUCUAUGGUUUCAAUGUUAGUCGUUGCCUGAAAAGGAUAUACAUGGAAAUGAAGGGAUCUUUUCAUGAUCUGGACAUGGGAAAAAACAGAUGUUACAAUUGCAGUAGUGGGUAUAUCUAGAAUAGAUAGUCUGAUAUUCUUGUCUCAUUAGGUUGGAUGCUACAGAACUACUGUGCUUUAGGUGAUUUUGGGAGAAGAUGUGACUAUUGGGCUUCAAGGUUAUUGGUUAGCUGGGCUGCUGAAGCCAUGAAAGGUCGUGUUUUGUAUAUACAGUCACUGGUCUUCUCUUCAUGAAUUCUGAUCGUAUUGUCUGAUUUUCAGAACCAGGAUUCAAAUGUACUAUUCGUUAAUGGCUAUAUUCGUUAAUGGCUAUGUGGUGUGAAGAUCUUGUUUUGUGUCAGUUGCUUUUGAAGCUUCCAAUUGUGUUCAAUGCUGUUCUCUUUUUCUUGCAUGCCGAAACGGAUAAUGUGCAUCUCGUCUGCGUCUUCUUACAUGGUCUAAUGCUGUUUCCUUUCUUUAUACUUGUGUCUGCUUGAAGUUUUCUCUGCAUAGUUUCAGUUUGCUUUUGGGGCCUUUGUCUAGGCGAUGAAAGUGAAAAUCUCUGAUAGGAUCAACCUACUGAUUGUUUUAUUUUGAGUUUAUCUCUGAUUUUGCAGUCAACGUUGAGGGAUCUGCAAGCUUUUCUUUGUUUAACCCUGCUUGCUUUUCAUGGUUUGGAUAGGAAGGAAUACAAUUUUUAAUGUCUGUCCAAGAAGAUGAUGACAUUUCUGUCUUGAGAGAGAAACAUAAGGAAACAGAAAAAUGAAGGGAGCUCUCUUCAGUCCAUUAAUGGAUGGCAGUAGGGUUGAAUUAUCUGCCGACUCAUUCAUUCAAAUGCCGAGUAAGUUAGCAACAAGUGAAAUCAUGAAGGGAAACAAUAAUGGUGCACUACUUGGUGAUUGUGUGAAUGAAGCGGGAGAUAAAUUUCACCCUAUGCUCCCCAUACUUGGACUGAAGGGAGCUCCCUUCCUCCCUUCUCUCCUCAGUUUCACCUCUUUCAUUUCUCUCAACAUGUCUUAGAAGGGAUCUCUCUCUUUCUAUAUAUAUAUAUAUAUAUAUAUAUAUAUAUCUUCGUGUUCAUCUUCAAAACCGACUAACAUGAACAAGAUGAUGAUGAUACCAUCGUACAAACAGAUCAUUUUGUGAAUAGAAGUAGCGUGAAAAGCUUCGCAUUAAGGAAGAUCAGACAGGCCACAAUACAAGAACAGUUUCGCAACAAGUUUGGAUGAACACGAGGGAUUUCAAGACAACUCUGCCUCUUUUUUUUCCAUGGUUUUAUCUUGAAGGAAAAGAUCUUUAGCGGGAGAAAAGGGUAACUUGUUCUUUAGCAACCAAAGUUGAUGGGUCUUCAAUGUAACUAGAAAAGGGGAAAAAAUGCUUUAUAGAAGUAUCAUGGCAAUAUCAGAGCAUGUUAUAAUGCAGAAAAGUGUGAAGUUUCUCAGUUCAAACUAA